rnacentral:rRNA from 1 species
AGAGUUUGAUCCUGGCUCAGGACGAACGCUGGCGGCGUGCUUAACACAUGCAAGUCGAACGGAAAGGCCCUGCUUUUGUGGGGUGCUCGAGUGGCGAACGGGUGAGUAACACGUGAGUAACCUGCCCUUGACUUUGGGAUAACUUCAGGAAACUGGGGCUAAUACCGGAUAGGAGCUCCUGCUGCAUGGUGGGGGUUGGAAAGUUUCGGCGGUUGGGGAUGGACUCGCGGCUUAUCAGCUUGUUGGUGGGGUAGUGGCUUACCAAGGCUUUGACGGGUAGCCGGCCUGAGAGGGUGACCGGCCACAUUGGGACUGAGAUACGGCCCAGACUCCUACGGGAGGCAGCAGUGGGGAAUAUUGCACAAUGGGCGGAAGCCUGAUGCAGCAACGCCGCGUGCGGGAUGACGGCCUUCGAGUUGUAAACCGCUUUCGCCUGUGACGAAGCGUGAGUGACGGUAAUGGGUAAAGAAGCACCGGCUAACUACGUG